UCUAGCACUCAUGCCUAGAAGCCACAGCGGUGACCUUCCACACGAGGCUGUUGACCAUUCCCAGUGCCCCUGGGCUCCACGCCUGCGCUGGCCCACUGAGAAGCAGUAGGAAACGCUGAGACACCGGCGCUCAUGACCUGCACUGGUCUCCCAGCCCUGGGCUGUCUGGUGCACAGGGCCUGCCCAGCACGAAGGUGUACUAUGCGGCAAGGGAGGUGGCCCCAUGGCCCUACGCCAAGAAGCUGAGAAGGAGUCAGGUCCCACCAACAGCCCAGGGUCUGGGGUUUGAAGAAUGUCAGUGUGGACAAAAGACUUCAUCCCUCCAAUUCCUCAUCUCCUCUGAAAACAAGACCACGGUGGCAUUGGCAGGACCCGUGGAGGGCACAGGUGCGUCCUGGCACGUGGCGGGUGGAGACCUCACCUGUGCUCGGCUGCACGCCGGUCACGGUCUCAGCCCUGCGGCAGAUGCGGUAGCGACGCGCAGGUGGUGCCUGUUUUGGUAACGACCUCUGUGCCCCUGCGUGUCCCGUGUAUCGCGUCUUGCGUUUGCAAGCCGCCUCGGGGGGUCCCCAGGCCCCACCCCUGGCACGGGCGUCCGGAUCCAGGAGCUGUGCUCUGCGAGGAGCCCCAGCCGACCUGACAGCCGCUCUGGCCGCCGCUCUCCCUGUCCUCCAGGAGCUCACUUACAUCCGGCCGUGAGCUCCUCGAGGCCAGAGCCCGCGUCUGCCUCCGCUCAGCGCUGCCCGAGACCCCCACCGAGCGCAGGGCCCCGCAGCCCCCGUCUCCUGGCCGCUUCUGUGGUGCCUCAAAGCAGCAGCUUCACCAGCGUCUGCGUGCAUAUUUUCUGAAGUUGCCGUUUCAACCCGGAUGCUGCAGACAGAUGAAACGGGGAAACUCUCCCAUUCGUGCGGUAGCGGAGGACUGACUGUACUCUGCGUGUUAGCUUGGGCAGGUAUCUUAGGGUGGUAAGGGGGACUUUGGGGAAAUCGGCCUGAGAAGGAUGUGACGGUUCAUCCCCGCACGUUUUAUCUCAUCGGCUCUAACGAGUCGGCUGGGUGUUGCUGUGAGUUUCUGGUGGCUGAAAAGGCCUGUUGGUCCUGGUUCUGCAAGCCGUGUCACUGAGGCUCCCGGGAAGGGGGCACGCGGGGCGUCCGUAUUGCCUGUCACAGCUGCGUGCGCAUCUGCUUAUUUCAAAA